UGAGGAAUACGUUACCUCACGUAAACGAAGAAUAUUUCCGAUUCGGUGUAGCAUAGGAAUAGAGGUAGACAGGAGAACACCAGUAAGAUGGCGUCCGGUUUUGAAUCUUCGUUACAUAGAGGAUCAGACGUAGAAUACGAAUUAUGUUGUGACACUUGCGAAGAAAAAGAUAUUAACAGGGAGGCUCAGUUCUAUUGUGAGAAAUGUUCAAAGUUUUAUUGUAAUCCAUGUGCUGGAUUGCAUGAUCAGCUUUAUAGUAAACAUGUACGUUGGGGGAGAAAGGACAUGAACAAGUGGCCUGUGGCCAAGACAGCAUCAAAUAAGCUAGAAGUAUGUCAAAGACAUAAUGGUGAGAAAUUUAGAGUAUAUUGUGAGAACCAUAGCCAGAUGUUGUGUACCGUCUGUCAUAUUUACGAUCACCAGAAAUGUAGGAAUGUUGUUUUGAUCGCUGACAAACUGAAAGAGCUGUGCAAGAAUGAAGACUUUCAUCAAUUGUCAAAACACUUGGCAAGAUUGCAAAAUGAAUUGAAUCAAAAUACGAAAGAACAAAACAAGAAUUUACUAAACAUGCAGCAAUCCUAUAAGA